CAGUGAUGAGGACAAAAUGAGGAAAAAUAUCUGUAAGGGAAUGUUUAGAGGUUUUGUUUACAAUUAGAGGUCACUGAACAGCAAGGAUGGGCCCAUGUGUUGCCAGCAGUUCAAGUUUCAAUUUGCAUUCUUGACUUGCUUAGGAGUUUU